rnacentral:rRNA from 1 species
UACGAAGGGGACUAGCGUUGUUCGGAAUCACUGGGCGUAAAGCGCACGUAGGCGGAUAUGUCAGUCAGGGGUGAAAUCCCGGGGCUUAACCUCGGAACUGCCUUUGAUACAGCAUAUCUUGAGUCCGAUAGAGGUGGGUGGAAUUCCUAGUGUAGAGGUGAAGUUCGUAGAUAUUAGGAAGAACACCGGUGGCGAAGGCGGCCCACUGGAUCGGUACUGACGCUGAGGUGCGAAAGCGUGGGGAGCAAACAGG